GGGUAGAGCUCAGGGGUAGAGUGUGUGCUUAGCAUUCACAAGGCCCUGGGUUCAAUCCCCAGCAUCUCCCCC
rnacentral:tRNA from 1 species